rnacentral:lncRNA from 1 species
AGUUCGGAAACAAUGCUUGGUGGGAACCUGCAAUCUUGGCUGCCGGAACCUUCGGGGAGGAUUAACGCCGGCGCACCGUGCGGCCGGGGCGGGGCGCCGCCCAAACUCAGGCCCUGUGACAGCGACUGUGGCGGUCUGGAAAGCGUGGGCCUCGGUCAUUGGGCACGAGCGGUCACGUGACAGCGGGUUCCUCCAGGCCAGCGCUGGUGGUUGAGUGAUGUAAUCACGUGGGGUCUGAAGUCUUCGUGGGUGUAGGUUUCUUCGUUAUGCUGACGACAGGCAGUGCCCGAACUCUAGGCUGGGAGUUGUGCCAUGCUGCUGCUUUCGUGGGCUGACCAGAAAAGGGUAGAAGGAUUGACGUUUACGAAGUUUUUGAAUCAGGAGGCAAGGUCGCCUUGUGCCCCCAAAAGGAUAGAAAAAGGCCUGGCAAACUGGAGAAUCGCGUCCUUACGGUGCCUACAUAUUUAUAGUACGAAUUAAACUGCUCAAGGGGUGCUAGGUUUGUCUGCAGUCCGUUUCUCCCUCAUGGUGGAAGACGCGUGGGGAAACUUGGUAUCCUGUGUUUUCCAGUUGAAAGCUUGUGAAAAUUCGCUUUAUCCUUGAAGUUCAGAAUUUUCACCAGGAUGUAUGAAGUAAUAUUCCAUUGUAUGGAUAUGCCAGAGUGUAUUUAUCUACUGACCAGUUGAAGAACAUUUGGAUUGUUU